AUUGAACGCUGGCGGCAGGCCUAACACAUGCAAGUCGAACGUGAAGCCACCUUCGGGUGGUGGAAAGUGGCAGACGGGUGAGUAACGCGUGGGAACGUGCCUUUCGGUUCGGGAUAACCCAGGGAAACUUGGGCUAAUACCGGAUACGCCCUCCGGGGGAAAGAUUCAUUGCCGAAAGAUCGGCCCGCGUCGGAUUAGCUAGUUGGUGGGGUAAAAGCCUACCAAGGCGACGAUCCGUAGCUGGUCUGAGAGGAUGACCAGCCACACUGGGACUGAGACACGGCCCAGACUCCUACGGGAGGCAGCAGUGGGGAAUAUUGGACAAUGGGCGCAAGCCUGAUCCAGCCAUGCCGCGUGGGUGAAGAAGGCCCUAGGGUUGUAAACCCCUUUCAGCGGGGAAGAUAAUGACGGUACCCGCAGAAGAAGCCCCGGCUAACUCCGUGCCAGCCGCCGCCGUAAGAC
rnacentral:rRNA from 1 species